rfam:Desulfobacteraceae bacterium 4484_190.2 ex4484_190.2_scaffold_17812, whole genome shotgun sequence.
CUUACGGAUUCCAAGCUCCCUGAUGCCCAGGCAGGCUGGGAGAAGGCAAUGACAACACUGCUCGCGGCAAUGGGUGGUUCCAAUUAUAUCCACCAUGCAG